GAAUGUGAGGGUGAUCUGGCUGUGACAUCUGUCACCCCAUUGAUCACCAGGGUUGAUUUGGCUGAUCUGGCUGGCUAGGUGGGUGUCCCUUCCUCCCCCACCUCUCUGUGUUCAUCCCUCCCAAUGUGACCAUCCUUGAUACAGGGCAUAUGAGUAGCUGUUAUCCCCCUGCUAGAACUUCCAAACAAGCUCUCAAGGUCAUGAGAGAAUGGGGCAGAUCUUGUCCAGUAUAGUU
rnacentral:snRNA from 1 species